rnacentral:rRNA from 1 species
AUGGUGGUGGCGGCGGCCGGCGACCCUCGCCGGGUCCGCAACACCUGCAUCAUGGCGCACGUGGACCACGGGAAGACCACGCUGGCCGACCACCUGGUGGCGUUCGGCGGCGGCGGCCUCCUCAACCCGAGCAUGGCCGGCAAGGCCCGCUUCAUGGACCACCUGCAGGAGGAGCAGGAGCGGGCCAUCACCAUGAAGUCCGCCUCCGUCCUGCUCCGCCACCGCGACGGCACCCGCGUCCACCUCAUCGACUCCCCGGGCCACGCCGACUUCUGCUCCGAGGUCUCCGCCGCCGCGCGGGUGGCCGACUCGGCGCUCAUCGUCGUGGACGCCGUCGACGGCCUCGGCGUCCAGACGCACGCCGCGCUCCGCAAGGCCUUCGCCGAGCGCCUCCGCCCCUGCCUCGUUCUCAACAAGCUCGACCGCCUCAUCACCGACCUCCGCCUCGAUCCCGGGGAGGCCUACGAGCGCCUCCGCCGCAUCGUCGCCGAGGCCAACUCCGUGUACUCCACGCUGCGCUCCGGCUCCUACUUCUCCCUCCUUGAUGGGCUCGCCCCCGACCAGCAGGCCGACGAUGGCGAGGACACCUUCGUGCCCCAGAAGGGCAAUGUCGUCUUCGGCUGCGCCCGCGACGGCUGGGGCUUCCGGAUCCAAGAUUUCGCCGCCGUGAUGGCCAUGGGGCGCGCCGGCCAGGCCAACAAGCUGGAGAAGAAGAAGGCUAUGCCCUUGGCCAACGGCAUCAAGCAGCGGCCCAUAUUUGUGGAAUUGGUGCUCAAGCGGCUGUGGAAGGUAUAUGAUCAUGGUCUGAAGGUGGACGGCGCAAGCUGGCUGCGCGAUCAUGUCGUCCAGGCCUUCAAUCUGAAGGUAUCGGAGCGGGAGCUGCAGAGCAAGGACCGCCCCAAGGCCGUGCUGGAAGCCGUGAUGAGGGCGUGGCUGCCGCUUGCGGAGACAGUGAUGACGAUGAUCGUGGAGUGCACGCCAGACCCCGUCGCCGCCCAGAGAUUCAGAGCGCCGGCACUUAUGCCCGAGAGGGAGCUGCCGACAUGGGUUUUGGCGGAGCACGUCGCCGAGGCGGAGAAGGUGAGGAGGUGCGUGGUGGCCUGCAGCGCCAGCUCAAGCGCCCCUGUGGUGGUCUUCGUGUCCAAGAUGUUUGUGGUGAAACACAAGGAUCUGCCACCUACCCUCGACCGCGGCCAGGAGGCCGCCGGUGAGCCGGAGGAGUGCUUCUUGGCAUUUGCGCGGGUCUUCAGCGGCGUCUUGCACGCGGGGCAGAAGGUGUUUGUGCUGUCACCGAUGUAUGAUCCGGUGAAAGGGGACACAACAGGCAAGCAUCUGAAGGAGGUUGAGGUUCAGCAGCUGUAUGAGAUGCUAGGAGAGGGCCUCAGGCCGGUGGCCAGCGUAGGCGCCGGGAAUGUGGCCGCCAUCAAGGGCCUUGGUGAGCAUAUAAUGAAGACGGCCACACUAUCAUCUACGAGGAACUGCUGGCCCUUUGCGAGCAUGGCGUUCCAGGUCUCUCCGAUACUGAAGGUCGCGAUCGAGCCCGCCAACGUGGCUGAUCUGGCCGCGUUCCGCGAAGGGCUUAGCCUUCUCAACCGGGCAGACCCACUUGUUGAGUAUUCCAUAUCAGAAAAGGGUGAGCAUGUCCUUGCUGCAGCUGGGAAGGUACAUUUGGAGCAUUGUGUGGAGAAUUUGCGGGAGAGGUUCGCGAAAGUCGAACUGAAUGUCUCAGAGCCCUUGGUAUCCUUCAAGGAGACCAUCCAAGGGGAAGGUGUUGGUUUGGUAGAUAGCUUGAAGGAUCCACAGGGAUACGUUGAGAGGAUUGCUCCAGAUGGGAAAUUUGCUGUGAGAGUCAAAGUCAUCAGGCUUCCAGAUGCUCUGGUUAAGGUCCUCGAGGAAAAUGAGGAAUUGCUUUCUCGAACAAUUAAGGGGCAAACGGCGAGAAGCGACAGAGCAAUGGGAUCACAAUGUCCUCGGGAUGAUGAUGGUCGUUCCGUGGCAGUGCUUAGGCAAGAUAUGCUCAGUGCUGUAGAGAGCGAGCUGGAAGCGCUCUCUGUGCGAGCGGAUGAAGUUAAGCUCGAGUGGUAUAGGAAGACACUGCUGGGGUACUUGCACAAAAUCUCGGCCCUAGGCCCUUCCCAAGUCGGUCCGAAUCUCCUCCUCAUGCCCGGUGUGAAAUUAAGCAGCGGUUCGACAACCAUCCAAAACGGAAGGGAAGGUAUUCUAGUGCGCGGCACGUGUCAUGUCUCAGAGAAACUGGGGUUUGUGAGUGUGUCUGAUGAUGCAGAGAUUAGCAAUGGCAUUAUCGACGACAGUGAGCCAUCCACAGAUGUUCCUGAUCAUGAGGCACUAAGGAACAUCAUCAUCUCAGGAUUUCAGGAGGUCACAAAUGCAGGGCCCUUGUGUGAUGAACCUAUGUGGGGUCUGGCAUUCAUCGUCGAGCCCUACAUAUUCUCUGGCAGCCCAGAUAGUGUCAACUGCUCUUAUCAGCACAGAGCGGCAGUCAGGGAAGCGUGCCGGGCGGCCGUGCUUCAGAGCAAGCCCAGGCUUGUCGAACCCAUGUACUUAUGUGAAGUGACCACUCCUAUAGAGCGCCUAGGAAGCGUCUAUUCUGUUCUUGGCGAUUGUCGAGCAAAGGUGCAGGAAGCGGAGAUGCAACUAGAAACUUUCUUGUACAUGGUGCACGCGCAUUUGCCGGUUGCCGAGAGCUCUGAAUUCUCUGAAAAGCUUUGGAAUGGAAGUUCCGGUGCGGCCACUGCUCGUCUCACUUUCAGUCACUGGGAGGCUAUUCCUCAAGACCCCUUCUUUGUUCCGAAGACUAAGGAGGAGAUUGAGGAAUUCGGAGAUGGUUCAAAUAUGGGACCAAACUUGGCUAAGAAGCUCAUCGAUUCCGUGAGGCGAAGAAAGGGACUACAUGUUGACGAUAAAGUUGUCAAGCAUGGCACGAAACAGCGGACUCGGGCUAAGAAAGUGUAG